GCCCGCUUGGCGGAACUGGUAGACGCACGAGACUUAAAAUCUUGUGUCCUUCGGGGCGUGCAGGUUCGAGCCCUGCAGCGGGCACCA
rnacentral:tRNA from 1 species